rnacentral:hammerhead_ribozyme from 1 species
ACACUGCUGACGAGUCCCAAACAGGACGAAACAGCUUUCAAGUGC